GGCCUGAUGGUCUAGGAGUAUGAUUCGUUGUUAGGGUUAAUCACAUCGUUAAUAUUCUUUCGACGAGGUCCCGGGUUCAAUUCCCGGUCAGGCCC